GACGAACGCUGGCGGCGUGCUUAACACAUGCAAGUCGAACGGAAAGGCCCUGCUUUUGUGGGGUGCUCGAGUGGCGAACGGGUGAGUAACACGUGAGUAACCUGCCCUUGACUUUGGGAUAACUUCAGGAAACUGGGGCUAAUACCGGAUAGGAGCUCCUGCUGCAUGGGGGGGGUUGGAAAGUUUCGGCGGUGUGGGAUGGACUCGCGGCUUAUCAGCUUGUUGGUGGGGUAGUGGCUUACCAAGGCUUUGACGGGUAGCCGGCCUGGGAGGGUGACCGGCCACAUUGGGACUGAGCUACGGCCCAGACUCCUACGGGAGGCAGCAGUGGGGAGUAUUGCACAAUGGGCGGAAGCCUGAUGCAGCAACCCCGCGUGCGUGAUGACGGCCUUCGGGUUGUAAACCGCUUUCGCCUGUAACGAAGCGGGAGUGACGGUAAUGGGUAAAGAAGCACCGGCUAACUACGUG
rnacentral:rRNA from 1 species